rnacentral:misc_RNA from 1 species
GAUGAAGAACGCAGCGAAAUGCGAUAAGUAAUGCGAAUUGCAGAAUUCAGUGAAUCAUCGAAUCUUUGAACGCACAUUGCGCCCGCCAGUAUUCUGGCGGGCAUGCCUGUCUGAGCGUCAUUUCAACCCUCAUGCCCCUAGGGCGUGGUGUUGGGGAUCGGCCAAAGCCCGCGAGGGACGGCCGGCCCCUAAAUCUAGUGGCGGACCCGUCGUGGCCUCCUCUGCGAAGUAGUGAUAUUCCGCAUCGGAGAGCGACGAGCCCCUGCCGUUAAACCCCCAACUUUCCAAGGUUGACCUCAGAUCAGGUAGGAAUACCCGCUGAACUUAAGCAUAUCAAUAAACGGAGGA